rnacentral:rRNA from 1 species
UGGGGAAUAUUGGACAAUGGGCGCAAGCCUGAUCCAGCCAUGCCGCGUGAGUGAUGAAGGCCCUAGGGUUGUAAAGCUCUUUCACCGGUGAAGAUAAUGACGGUAACCGGAGAAGAAGCCCCGGCUAACUUCGUGCCAGCAGCCGCGGUAAUACGAAGGGGGCUAGCGUUGUUCGGAUUUACUGGGCGUAAAGCGCUCGUAGGCGGACUAUUAAGUCAGGGGUGAAAUCCCGGGGCUCAACCCCGGAACUGCCUUUGAUACUGGUAGUCUUGAGUUCGAGAGAGGUGAGUGGAAUUCCGAGUGUAGAGGUGAAAUUCGUAGAUAUUCGGAGGAACACCAGUGGCGAAGGCGGCUCACUGGCUCGAUACUGACGCUGAGGUGCGAAAGCGUGGGGAGCAAACAGG